rnacentral:rRNA from 1 species
UACGUAGGUGGCGAGCGUUGUCCGGAUUUACUGGGCGUAAAGAGCGCGCAGGCGGUCGUUCAAGUCGCGUGUGAAAGCCCCCGGCUCAACUGGGGAGGGUCACGCGAUACUGAUCGACUCGAAGGCAGGAGAGGGAAGCGGAAUUCCCGGUGUAGUGGUGAAAUGCGUAGAGAUCGGGAGGAACACCAGUAGCGAAGGCGGCCGGCUGGGCCGACCCUGACGCUGAGGCGCGAAGGCGUGGGGAGCGAACGGG